AUCCAGCUUGCUGGAUGCUGACGAGCGGCGGACGGGUGAGUAAUGCAUAGGAAUCUGCCCGAUAGUGGGGGAUAACCUGGGGAAACCCAGGCUAAUACCGCAUACGUCCUACGGGAGAAAGGGGGCUCCGGCUCCCGCUAUGGGAUGAGCCUAUGUCGGAUUAGCUAGUUGGUGAGGUAACGGCUCACCAAGGCCACGAUCCGUAGCUGGUCUGAGAGGAUGAUCAGCCACAUCGGGACUGAGACACGGCCCGAACUCCUACGGGAGGCAGCAGUGGGGAAUAUUGGACAAUGGGGGAAACCCUGAUCCAGCCAUGCCGCGUGUGUGAAGAAGGCCCUCGGGUUGUAAAGCACUUUCAGCGAGGAAGAACGCCUAGCGGUUAAUACCCGCUAGGAAAGACAUCACUCGCAGAAGAAGCACCGGCUAACUCCGUGCCAGCAGCCGCGGUAAUACGGAGGGUGCAAGCGUUAAUCGGAAUUACUGGGCGUAAAGCGCGCGUAGGUGGCUUGAUAAGCCGGUUGUGAAAGCCCCGGGCUCAACCUGGGAACGGCAUCCGGAACUGUCAAGCUAGAGUGCAGGAGAGGAAGGUAGAAUUCCCGGUGUAGCGGUGAAAUGCGUAGAGAUCGGGAGGAAUACCAGUGGCGAAGCGGCCUUCUGGACUGACACUGACACUGAUGUGCGAAAGCGUGGGUAGCAAACAGGAUUAGAUACCCUGGUAGUCCACGCCGUAAACGAUGUCGACCAGCCGUUGGGGUGCCUAGCGCACUUUGUUGGCGAAGUUUAACGCGAUUAGUCGACCGCCUGGGGGAGUA
rnacentral:rRNA from 1 species